GUGCCAGCCGCCGCGGUAAUACGUAGGUGGCAAGCGUUGUCCGGAUUUAUUGGGCGUAAAGCGAGCGCAGGCGGUUUCUUAAGUCUGAUGUGAAAGCCCCCGGCUCAACCGGGGAGGGUCAUUGGAAACUGGGAGACUUGAGUGCAGAAGAGGAGGGUGGAAUUCCAUGUGUAGCGGUGAAAUGCGUAGAUAUAUGGAGGAACACCAGUGGCGAAGGCGGCUCUCUGGUCUGUAACUGACGCUGAGGCUCGAAAGCGUGGGGAGCGAACAGGAUUAGAUACCCUGGUAGUCCACGCCGUAAACGAUGAGUGCUAAGUGUUGGAGGGUUUCCGCCCUUCAGUGCUGCAGCAAACGCAUUAAGCACUCCGCCUGGGGAGUACGACCGCAAGGUUGAAACUCAAAGGAAUUGACGGGGGCCCGCACAAGCGGUGGAGCAUGUGGUUUAAUUCGAAGCAACGCGAAGAACCUUACCAGGUCUUGACAUCCUUUGACCACUCUAGAGAUAGAGCUUCCCCUUCGGGGGCAAAGUGACAGGUGGUGCAUGGUUGUCGUCAGCUCGUGUCGUGAGAUGUUGGGUUAAGUCCCGCAACGAGCGCAACCCUUAUUGUUAGUUGCCAUCAUUUAGUUGGGCACUCUAGCGAGACUGCCGGUGACAAACCGGAGGAAGGUGGGGAUGACGUCAAAUCAUCAUGCCCCUUAUGACCUGGGCUACACACGUGCUACAAUGGGAAGUAC
rnacentral:rRNA from 1 species